CGCGAGGGGGAGGCGGGGCUUUCCGAGAGAAGAUCACCGCCGUCUUCUGAGGCUUGGUGCUUUGGCCUUUUGUUGGUCACCUUUUGCUCCAGCGAUUGCCAUGGCAACCAGCUUCACGCAGGUGUAACCUGACAGCACCACACAUCUCCUACUUUCUGCAGCAGAAAGUGCACUUGUGCACAAUCCGGGAAGGCAAGGGUGUUAACACCCCACAAGACAACGGAUGACCAAUGGGGAGCAAAUUCCUGUAGGAUGGAGCCCCUUUAUUCACAGAAUGGAACCCCUUUGUUCACAGAAUGGGACAAAGCAAUAACUUACUCUUGAAUUGACUUUCCCUCCUUUAGUGGCAUGCUCUUUCCAGUCCUCAUUCAUAAUCCUUGGGACUACUUCCCAAAUAGCGUCUGAAGCCCCGGUCUCAGACCCUUCUUCCCUGGGGAAGCCUAAGAUAAGACAGUGAGGUUAGACUUGGGUUUUGAAAGUUGAGUGAGACCUUUCCAAGUGUAGAGAGAGGGAAAGUGCAUUCCAGGCCAAAAAAAAAAAAAAAAAAAAAAAGCAGGAGCAAAGGCAAUGAGGCAUGGACAGCAUAAGGCAGGGCUGGGGAUUUGCAGCAACCUGCUGUGGCUGAAGCACAGGAUAUAUGGACGAUAUGAGGAGGAGAAAACUGGUGGGAAGGUUUGUUCAUUGAGAAAUACCUGUCAGAUACACUAAGCUGAAAAUAUUGAAAAAAUGUUCCCCCAAAGUUUUGUUUGUUGUUUGUUUCUCAUCAUAAACAUUCACAUUCUUUUAGGGGCACCUGGCUGGCUCAGCCAGUAAAGCAUGCAACUCUUGAUCUCAGGAUCAUGAGUUCAAGCCCCACAUUGGGCACAGAGCCUACUUAAAAAAAUAAAAUGCUAUUAAAAAAAUAAGCAUUCCCAUUGUUCUUCAUUUCUGAAUGAAGAAAUCAAUGGCCCAUGGACUGAGUAGUAACUGUGAGCCAUGCCAUGCACUCAAGACAAAAUUGAAUACUUGGGUGAAAGACCAAAUUCUGGAACACAAAACUGCUCUUAGUGUGUAUAAAAUCAGCAGGUAUGUAAAACAAAAUUUAUUGUGACCAGAAGAGAGGAGAUCCUGAAAUUUUUCAAGGAAGCAUAGUAAAUAGAACUAUAUAAUAUCCAUUACUAUUAAUUAAAGUUAUAUAAAAUAGCAGUGCAUUUUCAAUGUUUUAUUAUUAUGAACAAAAAUAAUUUGUAAGUGCUUUUGUGUAAUCAUUCCUGCCUUAUUUACCAUUACCCAUUAAGGACUUAAGUUCUGAACUACAAAUACCCUUCCAUGGAGGGAUGGUACGUUUAGGUUUGAAAGGCAAUUUUGGACUUCCUUAUUUUAGCACUAUGUUCUGUCUUACACAAUAAUUACCAUAGUUCAUUGAAUCUAAACUUCAUUGUCAUGGAUAGUAAGUUAUUCCAUUAUUUUAUGUGCCAUUAAGAAAGAAAAAGUGCUGCCAAUUACAUUUUGACAUGUUGUUGAUUGUAAGAUGCAUACUGUUUUCAGAGCUUUGAGAAAAUAUAUCACUUGAAAUU